rnacentral:rRNA from 1 species
GAUGAACGCUGGCGGCGUGCCUAAUACAUGCAAGUCGAGCGAAUGGAUUAAGAGCUUGCUCUUAUGAAGUUAGCGGCGGACGGGUGAGUAACACGUGGGUAACCUGCCCAUAAGACUGGGAUAACUCCGGGAAACCGGGGCUAAUACCGGAUAACAUUUUGAACCGCAUGGUUCGAAAUUGAAAGGCGGCUUCGGCUGUCACUUAUGGAUGGACCCGCGUCGCAUUAGCUAGUUGGUGAGGUAACGGCUCACCAAGGCAACGAUGCGUAGCCGACCUGAGAGGGUGAUCGGGCACACUGGGACUGAAACACGGCCCAGACUCCGACGGGAGGCAGCAGUAGGGAAUCUUCCGCAAUGGACGAAAGUCUGACGGAGCAACGCCGCGUGAGUGAUGAAGGCUUUCGGGUCGUAAAACUCUGUUGUUAGGGAAGAACAAGUGCUAGUUGAAUAAGCUGGCACCUUGACGGUACCUAACCAGAAAGCCACGGCUAACUACGUGCCAGCCGCCGCGGUAA